rnacentral:rRNA from 1 species
UACGGAGGGUGCGAGCGUUGUCCGGAAUCACUGGGCGUAAAGGGUGCGCAGGCGGCCGUGUGUGUGAGGCGUGAAAGCCCGGGGCUCAACCCCGGAAUUGCACCUCAAACUACAUGGCUAGAGCAUUGGAGAGGGUAGCGGAAUUCACGGUGUAGCAGUGAAAUGCGUAGAUAUCGUGAGGAACACCAGAGGCGAAGGCAGUGUCCUGGGUGGUCGCUGACGCUGAGAGGCGAAAGCCAGGGGAGCGAACGGG